UCCCGCUUGGAAGGGGGGUGGGGGAUGGACACAGCACACCGCAGGGCAGGUUUCACGCUUGGAAGGGGGGGUGGGGGACGGACACAGCACACCGCAGGGCAGGCUUCCCGCUUGGAAGGGGGGGUGGGGGACGGACACAGCACACCGCAGGGCAGGCUUCCCGCUUGGAAGGGGGGGUGGGGGACGGACACAGCACACCGCAGGGCAGGUUUCACGCUUGGAAGGGGGG